rnacentral:rRNA from 1 species
UAGUAACGGCGAGUGAAGCGGCAACAGCUCAAAUUUGAAAGCUGGCCCUUUUAGGGUCCGCGUUGUAAUUUGUAGAGGAUGAUUCGGCGAGGGCUCCCGCCUAAGUCCCCUGGAACGGGGCGUCAUAGAGGGUGAGAAUCCCGUAUGUGGUGGGCUGCCUUAGCCAUGUGAAUCUCCUUCGACGAGUCGAGUUGUUUGGGAAUGCAGCUCUAAAUGGGAGGUAAAUUUCUUCUAAAGCUAAAUACCGGCCAGAGACCGAUAGCGCACAAGUAGAGUGAUCGAAAGAUGAAAAGCACUUUGGAAAGAGAGUUAAAAAGUACGUGAAAUUGUUGAAAGGGAAGCGCUUGCAACCAGACUUGUCCGCAGUUGCUCAGCCGGUCUCCUGACCGGCGUACUCUUCUGCGGCCAGGCCAGCAUCAGUUCGGGCGGUCGGAUAAAGACCUCGGGAAUGUAGCUCCUCUCGGGGAGUGUUAUAGCCCGGGGUGGAAUGCGGCCAGCCUGGACUGAGGAUCUCGCUUCGGCAAGGAUGCUGGCGUAAUGGUUGUAAGCGGCCCGUCUUGAAACACGGACCAAGGAGUCUAACAUCUAUGCGAGUGUUUGGGUGUCAAACCCAUACGCGUAAUGAAAGUGAACGGAGGUGGGAACCCGCAAGGGUGCACCAUCGGCCGAUCCUGAUGUCUUCGGAUGGAUUUGAGCAAGAGCAUAGCUGUUGGGACCCGAAAGAUGGUGAACUAUGCCUGAAUAGGGUGAAGCCAGAGGAAACUCUGGUGGAGGCUCGCAGCGGUUCUGACGUGCAAAUCGAUCGUCAAAUUUGGGU